rnacentral:rRNA from 1 species
CAGCCGCCGCGGGAAUACGUAGGUGGCAAGCGUUGUCCGGAAUUAUUGGGCGUAAAGGGCUCGCAGGCGGUUCCUUAAGUCUGAUGUGAAAGCCCCCGGCUCAACCGGGGAGGGUCAUUGGAAACUGGGAAACUUGAGUGCAGAAGAGGAGAGUGGAAUUCCACGUGUAGCGGUGAAAUGCGUAGAGAUGUGGAGGAACACCAGUGGCGAAGGCGACUCUCUGGUCUGUAACUGACGCUGAGGAGCGAAAGCGUGGGGAGCGAACAGGAUUAGAUACCCGAGUAGUCCCUGUCUCUUAUAC